ACCGUUACUUGGGGUAUAGUUUCUAUAGUAGUGCAUCCAUAGAAAAGUCUGAUUCUACUUCGGCAAAAUCUAUUAGCCAAAGCUGCAGGGUUCUUAGAAACAUCAAAGAAGCUACUUCGGUAAAAUUUCAGGAGUUGCUCUCUCGAGUUCAGAGACAAAGAUUAAUAGGCAGCAGUUUGCCUGUUAAGUCAUCCGUAGCAAAGUCUGAUUCUACUCCGUUAAAAUAUUUUGGACAAACCAGCGGGGUUCAUACAAUUAGCAAAGAACCGACUUUGGUAGAAAAGAUGUUUCAGGGUAAUAGUGUGAUGAAUGCAGAAGCUGCUGGGAAGGAUACGGUUAGGAGGGAUAUCAAUGGCUCCUGAGGUUCUUAGUAAAGUAUACGACCCCCACCGGCGCAAAGCAGCUACUUUGGUAGAAAAGAUGAUUCAGG